GGUUCCUUGGUGUAGUGAUAACAUACCUCCCUGUCACGGAGGGGUUGCGGGUUUGAUUCCCGUAGGAACCG
rfam:Mycoplasma gallisepticum str. R(low), complete genome.